rnacentral:rRNA from 1 species
GAUGAACGCUAGCGGCAGGCUUAAUACAUGCAAGUCAAGGGGGUAGCAAUACAACCGGCGCACGGGUGAGUAACGCGUACACAACAUACCAUAUACUGGAGUAUAGCUUUGGGAAACUGAAGGUAAUCCUCCAUAACAUUGCGAGAGGGCAUCUGAUUGCAAUUAAAGUUUCGGCGGUAUAUGAUUGGUGUGCGUUUGAUUAGCUAGUUGGUAGGGUAACGGCCUACCAAGGCGACGAUCAAUAGCUGGCGUGAGAGCGCGACCAGCCACACUGGAACUGAGACACGGUCCAGACUCCUACGGGAGGCAGCAGUAGGGAAUAUUGGACAAUGGAGGAAACUCUGAUCCAGCCAUGCCGCGUGAUAGAUGAGGGCCCUCUGGGUUGUAAAUAUCUUUUAUCUGGGAAGAAACACUCCUAUUCUUAGGAACUUGACGGUACCAGAGGAAUAAGCACCGGCUAACUCCGUGCCAGCAGCCGCGG